AUUUAGGUGAUCAAGGAUUUGUCACCCGGACGUAAGAAAUUGGAAAGCAUAUUGCUAUGAUUAAGACCACUAGGAGCAGGGAGCUUGAUGUUAUUCAGGGUUGGGGUAAUUGAAAAUGUUAUGUAAUAAUCAGAUUUUAGAAGCUCUGUACUGUACCAACUUCAUGAACAAUGUUAUGACAUUAGUAAAUGAAACUAUUUAUUUUUAUUAUGAAA